AGAGUUUGAUCCUGGCUCAGGACGAACGCUGGCGGCAUGCCUCACACAUGCAAGUCGAACGAAGUUUUUUAGAAAGCUUGCUUUCUAAAAAACUUAGUGGCGGACGGGUGAGUAACACGUGGGCAACCUGCCCUACAGAUCGGGAUACCAUCGGGAAACUGAUGUUAAUACCGGAUACGUUCUAAGGAUCGCCUGAUUCUUAGAAGAAAGAUUUUAUCGCUGUAGGAUGGGCCCGCGGUCCAUUAGCUAGUUGGUAGGGUAACGGCCUACCAAGGCGACGAUGGAUAGCUGGUCUGAGAGGACGAUCAGCCACACUGGGACUGAGACACGGCCCAGACUCCUACGGGAGGCAGCAGUGGGGAAUAUUGCGCAAUGGGGGCAACCCUGACGCAGCAAUGCCGCGUGAAGGAUGAAGGCUUUCGGGUCGUAAACUUCUGUCUAGAGGGAUGAAUUUUUGACAGUACCUCUGGAGGAAGCCCCGGCUAACUACGUGCCAGCCGCCGCGGUAAUUC
rnacentral:rRNA from 1 species